UGAAGAAAGAAGAAUUUAGAAGAACAGAUUCAAGUGCUAAAGCAAACGGUGGGCAUGUUAGGCUAAAAAAGCUCGAGGAACAAGCCAAAGUGAUAGCUAUUUUGUGAGUUCUUCGGGCACUUAUAAAAGCACAUGCCUACUAAUGAAAGUCAAUGGCGAUGCAAUCGACGAAGUGAAUCAUUGACUUUCAUUAGAGUGUUAUUGGAAUAGUACUAGUCUUCUGGUGAUACUUUUAGUGCAAUAAUACGAUUCA
rnacentral:sRNA from 1 species